GUGUUUCACCUCACUGUUUGAAGUUUUGAACGCACUUCUAGCACCGGUCACGUGGUGGGAACAUGGGGUACUGUGGUGGUGUGCCUGUUGCCCCGUUCAUUUUGAACUACUUGGUUUUGGGCUUUCAGGCACGCUUUCUCGUGGGUGGGCAACUAUUUCUCUGAGCAAGUGAUGUCUAGCGGGUUCAGGAUUGUAUCCUUGCUGUGAUAUGCGAACCUCCUUCCCAGCCUGAGCAUCACCUGUGGGAUGAGGUAUUUCUCUGCUGCGACACAUGUCAGGUACUGUACACAGAGCAAGAGUGGCUGCCAGACACCUGCCUAUCCACUGCAAUUGUAUUGUCGAAGUUCUGAACUGAUGGAAGCAGAUUGUCUAUCUACUUUACAUAGUACUGGAGCAAAAUUUUACAGGAUGUCACACCUAUUGUAUCUAGCAAAGAAAUGGAACUGUCUGACAUGUGCAAUGAGGAUACCAUACUGAUUUCGGGCAACUGAAGUGCUUUGUGGUUCCAAUAAAUGUGGAAUUAAUAUUCUUUGUAAACAAAGGAGAUGUGAAGAACACUUGCGUAGAAAAAUGUAAUUACUAUAAAUGUGGAAUUACAAAAAAUAAACUUAACUAGGAAGACAAUAAAGCUAAACAUGCCUGUCAAUAGGUUCAAUGAGCUGACUACUGUUUUACAUAUCAACACCACAAUUAUCGAAAACCAUAGAAACCAUUUCAACAUGAACACAGCAGUAUAGAUUCGUUAAAAUUAUUUGUUAGUUGGCAUCUGUCACUUGUUGUUAAAGUGUUGGCACACCGGCUGCUGCUGUAUUAUAGGCAACAAACAGAGCAGGUCACUCAGCAAGUGCUGUUCAAUUUAAUUUUCAUGUUAAAAAAAGUAGGUUUAGCUCAGUAGAGGCAGAGCACAGGUUGGGAUUAUGAAAGGAUGGGAGACGUAACUCUGUGCAGUGUGAAGUGGCCAUUAUGAAAUGACAUGAAUGACAUGCCCUGCUGACAACUGGUUUUGGGGUGACCAAUGGCAUAACUGUUGCAGAUGUGACAUUUUAUAGCCAUGAACUAAUUUGAUAAACUAACCACAACAAGAUGGGCAGUAUAUCCUAGAAAUGGCUGUCAGAAUUCUACAGAAGAACUGUUAAUUGUACUCUGUUCACAACAAUUAAUACAUUUAAUGCCAUGUGACCACAGGCAGUCGCAGUAGUCUCACACCUAAUGCUGUUCCGUGACCUGGCUUGGCUUGAUGGUGAGACCAAUAUCCGAACACUAACGCAGACAUUGAUCUUAAGAAUGCAAGUGAUCAAAGCCGAACGUUACAAUUUAAUGUCCAAAAACAAGAAGUGCAGCUGCAGACCGUAUUUUAAUUUGCGAAUUGUAACACUUAAAACAGGGAUUUAAAAGAAAGUGU